GAAAUCUUAAUUCUUAUAAGGCUUCAUCAGCAUAUAAGAACUUGCGACAUCCAUUUUGGGUUAAGUUGUCUGAGCAGGGGAUUACAGACAGAGGUCUCAAUAAGACUCAACCGCUGCAUCCAACUGAAACGUAUGAGCCCACACCACGCUGCCGUCCACCAUGGAGGUCACGUUUUCAAUGUUGCCCAACGUGACACCUACCGGGAAUCCUACUAGCAGUCACAACACUACAAAAUUCCCUUUUCAGGUCUCUCAACAUGCAGCAACAGAAGAGGAUCACAUGAACAACGUUAUUCUUGCGUGCUUUGUCGCAUUUAUUCUGGUCCUUAUUCUGCUGGUGGUCAUCAUCGUCACACCAUUAGUGCGCCAUAAGGGCAGCUACAAACCCCAGAAUGAGGACACCGUGGAAGAACCAGAAAUGUUCACGAUGCAGGAGCCCGACAAUGAAUUCAGUGAGCUCUAACACACAAAUAAGGGAGAGAAAACCUUUUAAGUCAGCGAUGAAGAAAAAUAUUCUGCUGCCUAUGCUGGAGGGUUACACUACACUCAGACUGUGUUGACCUCCAGUACCAUUGUUUGUUAUUUUUAAAGUGUAAACCUUGCAAUGUUUGUAUAGUCAAAUUUACACUAGAUAGAUUAAGAUGACACUUAGCAUUGUUUAACUUUAUUUUAGUUUCUUCAAGUUUUCAGUUAUGGCUCACCUAUCUUGUCAAAUAUUUUUGGCACCAAGUAAAUUUGGAGAUUUUUAGCAGAUGAUAAAUAUGAAUUGAUGGAGGACUCGCUUGUGACAAGUUUGUCACCAUAAAGUACACUGUGGACAUGCUGCAUCUAACCGCUGCAUCCUGGUGAAACAGUCUGCAUAAUUAAUUAAUAGACUAGUUAAUAACAAAUUAUAGCUACUGUGACAACUGGGGUACGCAUUUGCAAGCAUUUACCUAAUGACCCAUGUAAUUGAGGUUUAAUUAUAAUAAACAAUGAGCUAGCACACAUCCGCUACUCAUGGGAUAACAGAUUUAAUCCCAAAAAAGUAAAAUCAAUGUAGCUUCUAACUAAAAUGAUGAAUAAUUAGAUUUUGUUUACAGCACGAAGGGAAAUUCUACAUUUCUAUACCAGGGGUAUCUUUCCAUAUAACAACCACUGUUGAUAUGCCGCGAAGUAGUUCUAAUUUGAUCAACUCUGGAAGGAUAAAGGGUUGAGGCAGUCCCUGACUGGAAUAUGAACUCAUAACCUUCAAGGCUGUGAGCUCUCACUACUGGGCCAUACGAGCAGACAGGAUGCGAAUCAGCUGGUGCCUAAUUGUAGACAUAUGCAAUAGGUUACAUUUUACUAUAGAGCCAUACAAUUUACUGAAAACCAUCAUAGGGGCUGCCAGAGAAAUACAAAGGCUAAUCAAAUUAUACCAUUUGACUAAUAUUCUUGGGUCUUUCGGUAAAGUCACAUAAAUACAGUGAGGGAAAAAAAGUAUUUGAUCCCCUGCUGAUUUUGUACGUUUGCCCACUGACAAAGAAAUGAUCAGUCUAUAAAUUUAAUGGUAGGUUUAUUUGAACAGUGAGAGACAGAAUUACAACAACAAAAUUCAGAAAAACGCAUGUCAAAAAUGUUAUAAAUUGAUUGGCAUUUUAAUGAGGGAAAUAAGUAUUUGACCCCCUCUCAAUCAAAAAGAUUUCUGGCUCCCAGGUGUCUUUUAUACAGGUAACGAGCUGAGAUUAGGAGCACACUCUUAAAGGGAGUGCUCCUAAUCUCAGCUUGUUACCUGUAUAAAAGACACCUGUUCACAGAAGCAAUCAAUCAAUCAGAUUCCAAACUCUCCACCAUGGCCAGGACCAAAGAGCUCUCCAAGGAUCUCAGGGACAAGAUUGUAGACCUUCACAAGGCUGGAAUGGGCUACAAGACCAUCGCCAAGCAGCUUGGUGAGAAGGUGACAACAGUUGGUGCGAUUAUUCGCAAAUAGAAGAAACACAAAAGAACUGUCAAUCUCCCUCGGCCUGGGGCUUCAUGCAAGAUCUCACCUCGUGGAGUUGCAAUGGUCAUGAGAAUGGUGAGGAAUCAGCCCAGAACUACACGGGAGGAUCUUGUCAAUGAUCUUAAGGCAGCUGGGACCAUAGUCACCAAGAAAACAGUUGGUAACACAAUACGCCGUCAAAGACUGAAAUCCUGCAGCGCCCGCAAGGUCCCCCUGCUCAAGAAAGCACAUAUACAUGCCCGUCUGAAGUUUGCCAAUGAACAUCUGAAUGAUUCAGAGGACAACUGGGUGAAAGUGUUGUGGUCAGAUGAGACCAAAAUGGAGCGCUUUGGCAUCAACUCAACUCGCCGUGUUUGGAUGAGGAGGAAUGCUGCCUAUGACCCCAAGAACACCAUCCCCACCGUCAAACAUGGAGGUGGAAACCUUAUGCUUUGGGGUGUUUUUCUGCUAAGGGGACAGGACAACUUCAUCGCAUCAAAGAGACGGUGGACGGGGCCAUGUACCGUUAAAUAUUGGGUGAGAACCUCCUUACCUCAGCCAGGGCAUUGAAAAUGGAUCGUGGAUGGGUAUUCCAGCAUGACAAUGACCCAAAACACACGGCCAAGGCAACAAAGUAGUGGCUCAAGAAGAAGACAAUUAAGGUCCUGGAGUGGCCUAGCCAGUCUCCAGACCUUAAUCCCAUAUAAAAUAUGUGGAGGGAGCUGAAGGUUCGAGUUGACAAACGUCAGCCUCGAAACCUUAAUGACUUGGAGAAGAUAUACAAAGAGGAGUGGGACAAAAUCCCUUCUGAGAUGUGUGCAAACCUGGUGGCCAACUACAAGAAACGUCUGACCUCUGUGAUUGCCAAAAAGGGUUUUGCCACUAAGUACUAAGCCAUGUUUUGCAGAGGGGUCAAAUACUUAUUUCCCUCAUUAAAAUGCAAAUCAAUUUAUAACAUUUUUGACAUGCGUUUUUCUGGAUUUUGUUGUUGUUAUUCUG